CAAUUUACAAUGCUGGCCAGUUUCCAUGUAAUCGAUACACACACUACAUGACUACCUCCACCAGCAUUGAUCUUAAUCUUGAUAGGAAAGAAAUGGUCAUCCUUGGCACACAAUAUGCCGGGGAGAUGAAGAAGGUUUGUUCGGUGUGAUGCACUAUCUAAUGCCUAAAAGAAACAUUCUCUCCCUGCACUCUAGCAACAAUAUGGGCAAAGAUGGUGAUGUUGCCCUCUUCUUUGGACUAUCAGUACUGUUAUCCAGGUAUAUGGCUAACAAAUUUGACAAGGGCAAGGUAUGAAGUGAGGGAGAAGACAUGCACGAGGAAGAAGAAGAAGAGGCGAAGAGGGUUGAAGGGAAUGGAGAGUAUGGACUCGGAUUCAAAGUGAAGGGGAAUAAGAAGGGACAAUUUCGUUUGUUUUUUUCUCCCUUUUUUCUUUGAUGUAGU